CUAUUCUACACCAGUAAUGUAUUUCUUUUAAUUGUCCUUUUUUUUUUUUUUCUUAAAUCUCAAGCUGAGAUAACAGCGUCUUUAAAAUAAAUUCAGAUAGAAACAAUGUUGCAGAGCUGUCAGGAUAGAAUUAAUCUUUAUGUCUCCUACUAUUUUAUUUGUCAUCUCUUCUGCAAUUGACAGAUAUAGCAAGGACCUAAAGAGCAGCAUUUCAAAGUAUAAAAGACAACAAGAUAUAAGACACUAAAAUACUCUAGCCACCCAAAAGAAAGGUGCCAACAUGUACUUAAAGUUCACAGUACCUAAGGUUGUAGAUGUCAUCUCUCAAUUGUGAUUCACAUACUUCCAGCUGUGCAGGAUCUUUUGCAUGAUUACUGCUUUCACCUCUCUCCCAUUUCCUGCAAAGGCUGGGUUCACACUGUAUAAAAACUGUAGUGUUAAACAGCGACUAAGAACAUUUUCUGAACUACCAAACAGACAGCCUUUAACAAUAGGAGCAGCACAAUAAGUUGUGUGACAUCCGAAACUGUGAUUAUAGAUUGACAAAUCUUCUGAAGUAGGAGCCUGGAUGCCAUAUGCCAUACUUGAGGCUGCAUAUCAUUACAUGUACCAUGAGAAGAAACAUGAGGUGGAGGCCCAGCAAACCUCCUUAAUUUGAGUCUUGACAAAUCUGCAAACUGUAUGAACACAGCUAGACAUUCAGCUACCUCUUCCUCUUGUUAAAUCUCUCUGAGUUUAGAAUGAUAUACUUCUGCUAUGUAUUUUCUCUAUUUACAUCAAAUUGAUGCUCAAUGCUGAGAAACUAGAGAAGUCUCACUCUUACACCUACGCUUACAGUGUUGGCAUAAUUGUGUCUUUCAGAAAACUACUCCUAUUGCAUUUGAGUGAAUAUAUAGAAGCUUCAGAGUAUCAUUUAUGAAUGCUGAGCCCCUUUUUAACUCUGCUUAUGGUCUUCUAAAUUAAUUUGUUUCUAUAUCUGGAAACCUCUGGAGAAAUUAUUCUGACUAAGUAUUGUUUUAUUGUAAAAUUGUAGUCCUUCUGGAGCACAAAAAACAACUUGAACCAGUUAAAGCUUGCAUUAAUGUGACCUUAUUAAUUACAGGACACUCAUUUAGUAUUGAAGGUAUUAUCAUUCAUAUUUCAGAUGUUCUUUGAUAUGAAGUAGACCUUGUUGUUUCUUUACAUUAUAAUGAAUAAUUGCUACUAUGUUUGUCUAUAUGUUUUAUUUUAUUUGUCUAUAUUUUAUGAUAAAACUCACCCUUGGGAAUGAGCAAAUAAUUUCUCUUGGGAACAUCAAAGAUAGAUGGGACCCAGUUCUUCUUUUCUGAGGUAACCUGAACUUCCUUGUUUAGCAAAAUCAGAGUACAAAGCAUGUAGGACUGGAACUAAGAAGCACUUAGCAGUGAAAUAACCACCAAAAAUUGAGGUCAGUUCCAGUGUUGUUGUUUUUUUUUUGUCUAAGUGAGUGUAUUUAGCACUGAUUUUCCUGUAAGAUUUCACGCAUAUUGCUUGGAGGAUGCGUAAAAACAAUUUCUCUACAUGCCAUGUAGAAUUCUCUCUAAUGUGACUCAUUAGUCUACUGUACCAAGCAAUGAUAGCUCAACCAGGUUGAUAUUUUUAAAGCUAAUGAGCCACUGAUUAGUAUCUGACUGACUGAAGCUAACAAGAUAUGCUCUCUUCCAGUGAUUUAUAGUGAUGAAUUAAUUAACUUGAUCCAAAAUUCCAUCUCCGGUGCAAUAUAUGGCUUUCCUUUGAGCUUCAUAACACUGUCUGCUGAAUCUAUGGACUGAAUAUGAAGCUUUACUAAUGAAUCACAGAAUGGUUGAGACUGGAAGGGACCUCUGGAGAUCAUUUUGUCCGACGUUCCUACUAGCAGGACCAGCCACAGCAAGUUGCCCAUGACCAUGUCCAGGUGGCUUUUGAAGAUGUCCCCGGAGUGAGAUCUCCACAACCUCUUUGGGAGCCUGUACCAGUGCUCCAUCAAUUGCACAAAAAAAAACCAACAAGUGUUUUCUGAUGUUCAGGCGGAACAUCUUGUGUUCCAGUUUGUGUCCAUUGCUCCUUGUCUUGCUUUGCUUCCUCAUGUGACCUUUGAUUUUCUUACUAAACUGUCUUUAUCUUGACCCACCACAAGGUUUUCCAUCUUAUUUCUGGCUCCAAUACUGCUGAGGAGGAGUGAGGGGGAGGCAAGGUGGAUGUCUGGCAGACAGCCAAGGUCAACCAUUCACACUUGGAAAUAGUUUCCUGAAGAUAACUAACUUUCAGACUUUUCAAAGUCUGCCAAAAACAUGAAUUGAGUGGAUUUACCUUUUUUAAUUGUACGUAUAAAUGUAGAAUACCAACUUCCAAAUAAAAGAAUGCUAAACUAAAAUUAGUGAGUUACAAACCAGUUGACAUAAGGAGUAAAAUUUGAUUUUGCAUAAAUUUAAAAUAGACAUUUUCACUGGAGAUUUCAAUAGAUACAUCUGAUCAAAGCUGAAGAUUAAAAUAUAAUUAAAAAAGCUGGAUUUUGAUCACAUCAUGCUUCAGUAAAAGUGAAGAAUUUCAUCAGAAUGUCAUUGGAUUUAUGCGGAAGUAUAAGCUUGAUCGUAUAAAGAGAUAGAAAAGCACUGAAUGAGAAUGGAUUUGUGAUCUGUACAAAUGUCAAGUUAAUUUUAAAACCAAUCUGGGAUAAAUUUGUCUCAAAACUAAUAGGAUUACAGAAAGAAUCAUUAUGGAUGUCUGUGCCUUGAAUUAAGGUACCACAGCAGAUUUUAUUUGAAAAUUUUCGAUGAAAAAGAAAAGCAAGGAAGUCACUCUUGUAUUCAUUCUUUAAAGGAAUGAAAAGAGAAAUCUACAUAGACAAAAUAUGGGCCUUUUUUCUUUUUCUAAUAAUUGAAAUAAAUUUCUUUUCUUUCUGAAAUUCUUUCAGCUUUGAGGAGUCUGCACAUCUUUAAAGUACAGUGAAAUGAUUAUAGACAUGAGGCUUGCUUUUCUUUUGUUCCUGUAUUAUAACACUGGAGACAAUGUAAGCCAAAAAGUGUCCUUCAACGGUGAAUCAGCUAGUCAAUGUCUUAGAUAUGAAAAAAAGAGUAUGCUGAUUGUAAGACAUAGCAGUCUUUGCAUAAGACUGCUGAAGAGCUGUCAAUCCUGUUCCUUCAAAAAACAGCAACAAAAAUUCAACAAGAAAACAAAUAAAAAUCCUGACUCCACCUCUACCCUGCUCCUGUUUUCUUUUUUUAAAUUUUCUAUUUUUUAAAAAAGGAGCAGCAACUGUAUAUAUUAAAGUAUAAGCCAGGAGAUAACCUAACUAUCUUCCAUUAAAAUGGUCAUUUUAAAAAAUGUUAUAAUGUGUCAUUAUCAUAAAUAAAACACAAACACUAUGAAAAAUCUGAAAGAAACAACCUCUGGAAAAUUAAAAUAUAUACAGCUGAUUGAAAUACUGAGCACACUUUAUGUGGGGGAGAGACGUGUUUGCUUUUCAAUAGACUGAAUAUUAUUAUGUGGUACUUCAAAAGGUAGUGCUUGCAAGGCUGCCUACAAUGCAUUUAUUAACUACCAAGAUUUUACAGUCAGGCAAAAUUAUUUCGGCAGCCUUUGUGCUGCUGCCUCUCAUGCCUUGGGGCAGUGCAGUCAGGGGGAAUGGAUAAGUUUUCCUGACCAGUGUCUAAUGUAUUCAGUUCUCCUAAAAGACCAAAGAUGGCAUAAAUUACAGAGUAAACAUUUCACUGCAGUUAGGAACGUGGAAACAAAAAGGACUUCUAGUGUGUUCCUCUGAUGUUGCAGGUGUUACUACAGAUACACUUAGAAACUACAAACUGAUAAACUUCUAGAAUAUUUUGUCCUGUUGCCUUUGGGCUAGAAGUCCUUAUUUUUCAUAAACAGCUAAGUACCUUUCUGCAACAAUUUUGAACUAACGUGUCAAGUUGAGAUGUUAUAUGAAUCCCUAGUGCAAUAACACACUGUUUCUAUUGCAUGUCACCCUUUAGAUGGGAUAGUUUAAAUACAGUUAUUUUUUUUCCACAAGGUUUGAAACAAAACAGUCAAAUCCUCAAGAAAUAUUGAAAAAGCUGAGAAUCUGAAAAUUACUAGUCUGACCUCUAAGCUGAUCAUUUCAGUCUCCAUUAUCUCAUCAAUAUUGUAUAGAGCCACACAAAACUCAAUAUAACUGCUUUUCCCAGACUCAGCUGUAUUAUUUUAUGCUGUUGUUUUAUCCUUUGUUUCUGCACUGCUUUGCAAAUGAAAGAAUCAGAAACUUCAUGUUCUGUCACAACCACAACUUGUAUCUUUUCCAUUCUCCUCCCCUAAACACUCAGCAAAUGUAAUUUUCAUUUCAAGCUCUAGUUGUGUUUUGAUUUUUCAAAGACUUAAAGCACGUUAUCUUGAAAGUGUGACAUAUUUUCAUCUUCCUUAAAUAUGUUGAAUAAGUGUUUCACCAAAUUCUUGUUUGUCAAGGUGAUUUCUAAUGUGAUGUCAAGAUGGUGAUGUGUGCCCCAAAGUACCACUCAUCAAAUCUUUUUUCCUCCUUUUCCUUUUCCUUUUCCUUUUCCUU